ACGGCGAGUGAAGCGGCAACAGCUCAAAUUUGAAAUCUGGUCCCCCCCCGCGGGGGCCCGAGUUGUAAUUUGAAGAGGAUGCUUCUGGCGAGGUGCCGUCCGAGUUCCCUGGAACGGGACGCCAUAGAGGGUGAGAGCCCCGUACGGUCGGACGCCGAGCCUCUGUGAAGCUCCUUCGACGAGUCGAGUAGUUUGGGAAUGCUGCUCAAAAUGGGAGGUAAACCCCUUCUAAAGCUAAAUACCGGCCAGAGACCGAUAGCGCACAAGUAGAGUGAUCGAAAGAUGAAAAGCACUUUGAAAAGAGAGUUAAAAAGCACGUGAAAUUGUUGAAAGGGAAGCGCUUGCGACCAGACUCGCGCCCGUCGGAUCAGCCGUCGCUUGCGGCGGCGCACUCCGGCGGGCUCGGGCCAGCAUCGGUUCGCCUCGGGGGGAGAAAGGCGGCGGGAAUGUGGCUCUACGGAGUGUUAUAGCCCGCCGCGCAAUACCCCCGGGCGGACCGAGGACCGCGCGUAUGCAAGGAUGCUGGCGUAAUGGUCGUCAGCGACCCG
rnacentral:rRNA from 1 species